rnacentral:rRNA from 1 species
CCCUUAGAUGUUCUGGGCCGCACGCGCGCUACACUGAUGCAUUCAACGAGUCUAAAACCUGCUCUGAUAGGGGUGGGUAAUCUUUUGAAUGUGCAUCGUGAUUGGGAUAGAUGAUUGCAAUUUUUCAUCUUCAACGAGGAAUGCCUAGUAAACGCAAGUCAUCAGCUUGCAUUGAUUACGUCCCUGCCCUUUGUACACACCGCCCGUCGCUCCUACCGAUUGAAUGAUCCGAUGAAUAUCAUGGAUUGAGGAUGCAAGUAGGUUAGCCUAUCUUCAUCUUCGAGAAGUGAAGUAAAUCUGAUCAUUUAGAGGAAGGAGAAGUCGUAACA